GUUUAAUUCUGCUAUAAAUCCUCAUGAAGGGCUGACAGAAACUGCAUUGCACUCCUCGGCCUUCAGGGUGGAUUGAUUUGUUGAGGGAGCUAGAGUGAUUAGAUCUUCUCUCGACAGAAGGGCAAAAUGUCUGUACGACCUUCGAAGCCUGAAAGAGUACCACCGAAAGAGGCCCCCCCGCACCCGCCAAGUAAACGCCAUACAGCACCGAAGGACACCCAAGCAAAAGACGAGACUCCGCCAGCUUGGGCUAAGGAGAUGAUGGCGUCAUUGGCGUAUAUUCAAACUCAGCUCAAAGAGUUAAAGACUCAGUUAGCAGCAAUGAAAACCCAGAUGGAUGCCAUCACAGCUGGGACUACGAAGAACUUGCCUUCUGCAUCUAAGGAUAAGUAAGGAUCGAAACCACCUACUGAUGAUGGUUAGACUUGGAUAAUCUAUUUCUACAUGAACAUCUUUAAUUUGGUGCACUGUUUUAUAACCAAACUAUUCUAUCCUGUUUCUUUUAGUUUCUACGUUAUGAAUUUAAUUUUUGUUUUGGAUUUUAA